rnacentral:rRNA from 1 species
AUUGAACGCUGGCGGCAGGCCUCACACAUGCAAGUCGAGCGAGCGGCGGACGGGUGAGUAAUGUCUGGGAAACUGCCUGAUGGAGGGGGAUAACUACUGGAAACGGUAGCUAAUACCGCAUACCAUCAGAUUUGACCAUAUGAGAGUAGCGAGUCGGUGGGGUAACGGCUCACCUAGGCGACGAUCCCUAGCUGGUCUGAGAGGAUGACCAGCCACACGGGAACGGAGACACGGUCCAGACUCCGACGGGAGGCAGCAGUGGGGAAUAUUGCACAAUGGGCGCAAGCAUGAUGCAGCCAUGCCGCGUGUGUGAAGAAGGCCUUCGGGUUGUAAAGCACUGUCAGCGGGGAGGCGUUACCCGCAGAAGAAGCACCGGCUAACUCCGUGCCAGCAGCCGCGGUAAUAC